CAGUGGCCAAGCGUAAAACGCCGUCAGUGUGGAUGGAUUGGCUGCUGAUGGCUUGGCCAAGAGGGUUCCUGCCUUCAUCCUGGAUCAAAGUUUCCAGAUGGGACCUCCUCUUUUCUACUGUGGUGGCGGCUCUGCCUUAGGCAAGACUGAGCCGAAGCUCUCAGGACUCCAUCUCCCCCAGGCGGCCUCAAACCCCACCUUCCAGGAUUGGGUGACGCCACGGAGAGAAGAACAGAAUAUGUCUUCUUAGAGCAGAGAAGUAGG